AACGAACGCUGGCGGCAGGCUUAACACAUGCAAGUCGAACGCCCGGGGCAACCCGGGAGUGGCAGACGGGUGAGUAACGCGUGGGAACAUACCCUCCGGUUCGGAACAACGUUUGGAAACGAACGCUAAUACCGGAUACGGCCUAUGGGCGAAAGAUUGAUCGCCGGAGGAUUGGCCCGCGUCCGAUUAGCUAGUUGGCGGGGUUACGGCCCACCAAGGCUUCGAUCGGUAGCUGGUCUGAGAGGAUGGCCAGCCACAUUGGGACUGAGACACGGCCCAAACUCCUACGGGAGGCAGCAGUGGGGAAUAUUGGACAAUGGGCGCAAGCCUGAUCCAGCCAUGCCGCGUGAGUGAUGACGGCCUUAGGGUUGUAAAGCUCUUUCGCGCACGACGAUAAUGACGGUAGUGCGAGAAGAAGCCCCGGCUAACUUCGUGCCAGCAGCCGCCGUAACAC
rnacentral:rRNA from 1 species